UGGAAAUACUGAUACUUGUGAAUUAGGCAGCUGUGGCCUGUAUUGCAUGCCUGUUCUACUCUGGUGGGGACCUGCCAUCUUGGUUGGGCUGAAGUACAAGGUGCUGGGACCAGUUGUCGGCAAAGGGAGUGUGAUUCACUGAGUUAAUUACAUCAGGAUGGAGAAGAGAAGCAAAAAGCCCAAGCCAGGUAACUGGAACUACCUAUGAA
rnacentral:lncRNA from 1 species